AAAGAUGUAGUUUAUUUAGAACAUGUUAUUUACAUUAACAAGGUGAGUGUCUUUA
rnacentral:tRNA from 1 species